UAGAGACCUCUUUCUCUCAUGCUUUAUCAGUUACUCAUUGCUGGUAAUGAUUGAUCUGUGUUGAGAUAUAAAUAUAUAAUGUAUUCGAGAAAUAAAUUACAGGCUAAGGUGGAAAUGCUCAUAUGUCAUCAUCUCCUUAUCAUCAGACCAGAGCUUAUCUUCGGCGCUGCUUUGCUUUCCCAGGUCACACAAAGCCAGCGGUCACUGCGACCAAAAUUUACGCCUUCCCUGCUGAGAAAAACAAGAACUGGGAGGAGAAAAACAGAUUUUUAAUAUUCAUCUCUGGAGGCUAUGAAGUUUACAAGACAUAAGAAAGAGACUUCCUGAAAGCUGGACAAAUUUUCUUCCCAUACUGAUAAAUCCUGACCUGACCAGCCAGCUUGUUGACAUGAGCAUCAUGUAUGCAGCAGUGGUAAGCUGGAUGUCCCAACACCAAGGUAAGUGCAGCAUAUGCAGAGCAGAGGCACCUCACAUACACAGCAUCCCAUCUCUAGCCAGCCCAGCACAUACCUAACCAUGUAGCUCAGCUAUGGCCAGCUCCUCAGCAUCUCUCAGAAACUUUGCUUUCCUAGUAUGGGACACAGGCAGUUUACGGUCUUCUGGAUUCGAAUGCCUUACUCAAUUUCCUCCCAAUCUCAUUCUCCAGAGCCUAGACUCUUUAAUGGCUUGGAGGUCCUUGCUUUGGAGUUAAAUGUUAACAUUCAGUGUUCC
rnacentral:lncRNA from 1 species